rnacentral:rRNA from 1 species
UACGGAGGAUCCGAGCGUUAUCCGGAUUUAUUGGGUUUAAAGGGAGCGUAGGUGGACAGUUAAGUCAGUUGUGAAAGUUUGCGGCUCAACCGUAAAAUUGCAGUUGAUACUGGUUGUCUUGAGUACAGUAGAGGUGGGCGGAAUUCGUGGUGUAGCGGUGAAAUGCUUAGAUAUCACGAAGAACUCCGAUUGCGAAGGCAGCUCACUGGACUUCAACUGACACUGAUGCUCGAAAGUGUGGGUAUCAAACAGGAUUAGAUACCCUGGUAGUCCACACAGUAAACGAUGAAUACUCGCUGUUUGCGAUAUACAGUAAGCGGCCAAGCGAAAGCAUUAAGUAUUCCACCUGGGGAGUACGCCGGCAACGGUGAAACUCAAAGGAAUUGACGGGG